CGGGACACGUGGUAUCCUGUCUGAAUAUGGGGGGACCAUCCUCCAAGGCUAAAUACUCCUGACUGACCGAUAGUGAACCAGUACCGUGAGGGAAAGGCGAAAAGAACCCCGGCGAGGGGAGUGAAAAAGAACCUGAAACCGUGUACGUACAAGCAGUGGGAGCACGCUUAGGCGUGUGACUGCGUACCUUUUGUAUAAUGGGUCAGCGACUUAUAUUCUGUAGCAAGGUUAACCGAAUAGGGGAGCCGAAGGGAAACCGAGUCUUAACUGGGCGUUAAGUUGCAGGGUAUAGACCCGAAACCCGGUGAUCUAGCCAUGGGCAGGUUGAAGGUUGGGUAACACUAACUGGAGGACCGAACCGACUAAUGUUGAAAAAUUAGCGGAUGACUUGUGGCUGGGGGUGAAAGGCCAAUCAAACCGGGAGAUAGCUGGUUCU
rnacentral:rRNA from 1 species